rnacentral:rRNA from 1 species
CCUGUCUGGUAUUGGCGAAAGAGGUCCGCAGUUCCCAUGCCGAACACGGAAGUUAAGCUCUUCAGCGCCGAUGGUAGUUGGGGGAUCUCCCCCUGUGAGAGUAGGACGUCGCCAGGC